rnacentral:lncRNA from 1 species
CUCUGGAAGACCUGAGCCCCAGCGUGGUGCUGCACAUGACUGAAAAGCUGGGCUACAAGAACAGUGACGUCAUCAACACGGUGCUCUCCAACCGAGCCUGCCACAUCCUGGCCAUCUACUUCCUGUUGAACAAGAAACUUGAGCGUUAUCUGUCAGGGGUAAGUGGGACCCUAGAGGAGCAUCUUCUGUCUAGUGUUGGGAAGCUACACUUGGUCCAUACUGUCAUUUUAGCCUAAAACAUGAGUCCCAGUCUCUUGAAUGGGGGAUAAAGGACUAGCAAAACCCAUUUUUUAGACCGUGCUGCUGGUCUGAGAUGUGAUCCAAAUGCUCUCCUAUAAACGUUAGCCCUGGCCUACCCCUGAGGGGCUUAGCUCUGUCC